rnacentral:rRNA from 1 species
UACAGAGGUCCCAAGCGUUGUUCGGAUUCACUGGGCGUAAAGGGUGCGUAGGUGGCUUGGUAAGUUUGACGUGAAAUCUCCGGGCUUAACCCGGAAAAUGCGUUGAAUACUAUUUGAGCUUGAGGUUUGGAGGGGGGACUGGAAUUCUUGGUGUAGCAGUGAAAUGCGUAGAUAUCAAGAGGAACACCAGUGGCGAAGGCGAGUCCCUGGACAACACCUGACACUGAGGCACGAAAGCUGGGGGAGCAAACAGG